GAGGAAAGUCCGGGCUCUAUUUAUAGACAUAUAGUUGUAGAAAAUACAGUAUAGGAGACUAUGAGGAUCGUGCCACAGAAAUAUACCGCUUUUUUUAUUGAGUAAGGGUGCAAUGGUACGUUAAGAGCGUACCAGAAAUAUUGUUAAGAUAUUUGCUAGGUAAACCCCAUAUUAGAGCAAAGCAGUCAGUAUAAUAUGAUAAUUUUAUAAACAUUAUUAAAUUAAUACUGGCCAAUAUAGAUACUGCAUAAAGUGAUUUUUACUUUAGAUUAAUAAUUACCCUUUUUCUUACAGUAACAAUUCAAGAUGCAUUAUAUUUUUAAUUGUGUCUUCGUAUUUUUAUUAAGAUUAAGAACAAAACCCGGCUUAU
rnacentral:RNase_P_RNA from 1 species